rnacentral:rRNA from 1 species
UACGUAGGGUUCAAGCGUUAUCCGGAAUCACUGGGCGUAAAGAGCUCGUAGGCGGUUUGUCGCGUCGUCCGUGAAAACUCACAGCUUAACUGUGAGCUUGCGGUCGAUACGGGCAGGCUAGAGUUCGGUAGGGGAGACUGGAAUUCCUGGUGUAGCGGUGAAAUGCGCAGAUAUCAGGAGGAACACCGGUGGCGAAGGCGGGUCUCUGGGCCGAUACUGACGCUGAGGCGCGAAAGCGUGGGGAGCAAACAGG